rnacentral:rRNA from 1 species
AUUGAACGCUGGCGGCAGGCCUAACACAUGCAAGUCGAGCGAGCGGCGGACGGGUGAGUAAUGUCUGGGAAACUGCCUGAUGGCGGGGGAUAACUACUGGAAACGGUAGCUAAUACCGCAUACCAUCAGAUGUGCCCCGAUGGGAGUAGCUAGUAGGUGGGGUAACGGCUCACCUAGGCGACGAUCCCUAGCUGGUCUGAGAGGAUGAGCAGCCACACUGGAACUGAGACACGGUCCAGACUCCGACGGGAGGCAGCAGUGGGGAAGAUUGCAAAAUGGGCGAAAGCCUGAUGCAGCCAUGCCGCGUGUAUGAAGAAGGCCUUCGGGUUGUAAAGUACUUUCAGCGGGGAGGCGUUACCCGCAGAAGAAGCACCGGCUAACUCCGUGCCAGCAGCCGCGGUAAUUC